GCGGGGCGUGGUGCCGAGUGCCUGUAGUCUCAGCUACUCAGGAGGCUGAAGCAAGAGGAUGCCUUGAGCCCAGGAGUUCUGGGCUGUAGUGCACUAUGCAGAUCAGGUGUCUGCACUGAGUUCAGCUUCAGCGUGGUGACCUCCCGGGAGUGGGGAACCACCAGAUUGCCUGAGGAGGGGUGAGCCAGCCCAGGCCGGACACACAAUGGGUCACAAUUUCCAUGCUACCCAUGCUAAUCAGCAGUGGGAUCGGGCCUGUAAAUAGCCACUGCGCACCAGCCUGGGCAACAUAACGAGAACCCACCUCU
rnacentral:SRP_RNA from 10 species